CCUUUUGCCUGGAAAUCAUUUCCUCUCCGGCUGAGUGGAGGCGAAGUAAUACUCGAGGCCCGGCUGGCGUCCACCCACGACUUUCACAAGCUUCCCUAAAAAGGCGAGCUUAAAACUCCAAAAGUAACACCUGCUGGGGUUCAAGAUGCUCUAUCACAGUCUGGUCUUCACGUGGAUCUUUCUGAAGCUGCACCACAAGAUGAGCCGGUUUCACUUUAGCAGCUGUGUCACGUUGCCACCAGCCCGCCGCCAAGAACCCUGUCCACCCAACCAUCUUCCCUCCCAUAAUUGCCGUUAUCUGCCGAGAGAUUUGACAGCAGUCCGGCCGUGACCCCGGUGAGUCAUUUGUCCAUCUGGGUCGCUUUUGCCCGGCAACGCCACGCUAAUGAGCGUCCGCCGCAAGGAUGGAGAACCUCUUUUGAAUUGAAGGAACUCUUGUUGACCAGACAUGAAUGGCACUCUGUCGGGUCCAGACCUCUGCCAAGGGUGAUUGCCAACAAUUCACACCUGCAUACAAAUGACUUCAUUCUCCUCAACAUGCUGUGCAAAAAGCAUACAGAUACUGCAGCA